AGUAUUUCAGCAUCCAGGGUUGUACCAUCAUUGAGCUGCUGUGGUGGUGGGCGUGUACGAGCGGCUAGCUAAAACCCGAAAUAACGUUACAUCGUUUCAUGUGGUGUCGUUUUUCGGACCUCGUCAGUGUUAUUGACUGCUGGGUUUUUAUCUUCCGCGAUGCAUGGGAUGUCGGGAUGACAGGAACAUGGCAAACGGGGUUGGAAAACACAAGCUGCUCGUCUUUGGACCAACAGAGCCAUGGUCAGUGAGGGAGAAGCUGUGUUUGGCAACAUCUGUCAUGAAGAGUGGGGACCAGAACUGGGUAUCUGUCAGUCGAGCAAUCAAACCAUUUGCAGAAUCUGGGCGACCACCUGACUGGUUCUCUCAAAAGCAUUGUGCCUCCAAGUACUCUGAGCUCCUGGAAACAACAGAAGCACCAAAGCGGAAACGUGGUGAAAAGGGUGAAGUGGUGGAGACAGUUGAGGACGUGAUAGUGCGCAGGCUGACCGCUCAGAGGAUUGACGAGCUCAAGAAGUUGAUCAAAGAAACACAAGAGAAGCACAGGAAGCUGAAGAGAGAGACUGAACUGAUUCAAGCAGGACAUCUAGAUUCCAAACUAGAAGAGAUAUGGGCGGAAAUCCAGCAGAAGAAGAAACGGGAGGAGGAGGAAGCAGAAUUGAAUAGAAAGAACACCGAUGCUGCCUAUCAGGCCAGACAGGUGGCAAAGAACACACCUAAGCGAAUGCCCGGCAUCACCAUGCAUUCACCCUCAGGCUGUAGCUCCCCAAAUCAGGACUUCUCACCAGGUGACUCACUCGAGUGCCUGACACUGGAUCUUGCAUCAGCAAAGAAUACGGCAGGAUCAGCCAGAUUAAUGACAAUUCCGGAGACUUCUGGACCUGAUAACGAUGACAUCAGCAUCGGGACACUUCUCGAUGACCCUACCCAAAAGAAGCUCCUGAGCCAGAAAGCAACACCACCGCCCUCCCCGCUUCUGUCCGAGUUACUGAAGAAAGGCAACAUCUUGGCUACAAAUGCUAGACUGAUUGGGGAUGGAGAUGUGUCCAUAACAUCACAUGACCUGCAGCUGGCUCCACCCACCCAACCGCUUUCUCAGGCUACAGGUGCCCCGAUGUUAUCUCGUCUCCUGGAGGCAGGUCCCACCCAGUUCUCUGCCCAGUUAGGUUUCAUGGUCAGUGCAAACUCGGCCUCCAGUGCCUCUCUCUCUGCUGGCACUCCUGUUCCCAUUGGCUCGACAUCCUCUGCAAGCACAGAAGUGGAUGUGAUGGCGCCCUCUGGAUGCCAGCCUGUCUCUGCAGAUGUCAAGGUGUCAGAGCUCAGUGAGGAGGAUGUGACCGUGUCCUACAUGGGAGAUGAGCUGGACCUGAAGACAGUGGGAGACAUCAUCGCCAUCAUUGAGGACAAGGCGGAUGAGACUGCAGAGGCGUUGGAUGCAGCUGCAGUUGAGGCUGCUCUGUCACUGUGUGAGGAGAACAGCCAUGCUUUGUCUGGUGCCUGGACUGCCGGGCCUUUCCAGCCCCAUGAGCCUCACUCAGCAGUACCCACAGGGGUCCAGCAGUCUCUGUCUCUUAGCUGUAGCCUGGAGGGCAAGACAGAGGUGCUGGAAAGUCAGGGUGGGACUUCUGCUUCACUGUCAUCCCUGUGCAACAGUCAAGAUAACUGCUUUGCAGCAUUUUCAGCGGGACUAAGGGGCCAUCCUCCCAUCUCCUCAUGCAACUCGAAAAGUUUGGAGCAUCGCCCCGCCGGAGCAACUCCACAUCCAGAGGCGAUAAGAGAGAGUGGAGAUAUGAAGCACCAGAAACGCCACAUUUCAUUGGAUUUAAACAUAAAAAGUGAGAGUGAGAAGUGGGCACAGCAAAGACUUGAUAAAUCUUCUGGAGACUCAGUAUUAGAAGAUAACCCACUGAAACAAAGGCAUCCAAAGCAGGAGAUGAGAGCGGGGGAUGGACAGAGUGUGGGACGAGGAGAAAACACCUCAGGGAUUAAAGUUCACAACGAGGUCAAUCGACAAGCAGUGUGUGGAGAAGAAGAAGAAGAGGAGGAAGAAGAAGAGGGCGACGGGGUGGAGGGAUUCUUAUCAGAACCGGACGGGGAGAUGGAGCCCGCAGCCAGUGAGAGCGAGGAUGGAUACAGCCUGCACACAGCCUCCUCCUCUCUGCAGCUCCACACAACCGCAGACUCCAUCCCCAGCAGCCCCGCCUCAUCGCAGUUUUCCAUGUGCAGUGAGGACCUGGAAGCUCUGCAGGCUCAGAAAAUCUGGAAGAAAGCCAUUAUGUUGGUGUGGCGUGCAGCUGCCAAUCACAGGUAUGCAAAUGUCUUCCUUCAGCCAGUAACUGAUGAAAUAGCUCCUGGGUACCACAGUAUUGUGCACAGGCCCAUGGACCUGGCCACCAUAAAAAAGAACAUAGAGACCGGUUUGAUCCGGACCACGGCCGAGUUCCAGAGGGACAUAAUGCUGAUGUUUCAGAACGCCGUCAUGUACAACAGCAUGGAUCACGACGUGUACCACAUGGCUCUGGAGAUGCAGCGGGACGUCCUAGAGCAGAUCCAGCAGUUUCUAGCCACCCAGCUCAUCAUGGAGACCUCAGAGUCUGGCAUCAGCGCCAAGAGCCUGCGGGGCCGUGAGAGCACACGCAAACAGGACUCCACUGACAAGGUGCUUCACUAGAAUUUUGACAAAAGCAGAGAGUACAGAAGAAGAGACAAGGGACACAGUCUCCAUGUCCUCUCCUGCCUUCCUUCUUUCUCUCUUUGAUGGAGGCACCAGAGGGCGCCGUUGUGCCAUAGAAGCUGACCUCAAGAUGAAGAAAUGAACCUACAGUGUGAGGAUUUGCCAGAUAGUAUCCCUGAGCUGAUGUGAAAGGUGUGACACUUCAAGACUGAAUUAAUUCAUUGUCAGCUGCACAGACGCUCACUCUGCAUAACUGGCAGUAUAACUUUUUAUUUGCACUCUAGAUAAAAUGGUUUGACUUUGCAGAAUUGCUUACUUCUGAGACAGCCAUACAGUCAUGAAUAACAUACUGUAUAAUUCCAGAUAACAAUGGGGCCUUCAGAAAGACAAGGUCAAACCUUGUACAGCAGCAGCUUCAGAUCACAGAGACCUGCCUGCUCUGGUUUACAUCAGGUUGUAGAAAUGAAAUGGAAAGUUACCUCUUAUCUAAAAAUGAGCUGACAGUUAACCUGAGGGGGCGCUGGUUGAUCUGUGGUUGAUGUUGAUGAAUUUAACAUGUUGGUGGUAUUACCUGAACCCCUAGGCCGAGAACCUCAUUUAACCUGGAAAACCUGAACCAUCGGGGGCACAUACUAAUUUUCAAAAUAUUUUCAUUGCUGGUAAAAAAAAAACAACAUUUUUGUUUUUCCUCAUUUUAAAGAAUCGUUCAGACCUUUGUUGGAUGUGUGUGUAUUUUUUGUGAUGCAUUGACACUCUUGAUGCUACACUUCCUGUAAAACGGUACUUUCAUGCAUACCUUUAGUUGUUUGCAGUAUUUUUGAAAAUAUGUCACGUCGAUGAACUGUUUUGUGGAUUUUCAGACCAAUAAAACUUCUUAAUGAG